rnacentral:rRNA from 1 species
UACGUAGGUGGCAAGCGUUAUCCGGAUUUAUUGGGUGUAAAGGGCGUGUAGGUGGGAGCGCAAGUCAGAUGUGAAAACUCAGGGCUCAACCCUGAGCCUGCAUUUGAAACUGUGUUUCUUGAGUGCUGGAGAGGCAAUCGGAAUUCCGUGUGUAGCGGUGAAAUGCGUAGAUAUACGGAGGAACACCAGUGGCGAAGGCGGAUUGCUGGACAGUAACUGACGCUGAGGCGCGAAAGCGUGGGGAGCAAACAGG